rnacentral:misc_RNA from 1 species
CGCACAUUGCGCCCAUGAGUAUUCUCUUGGGCAUGCCUGUUCGAGCGUCAUUUCAACCCUUAAGCCUAGCUUAGUGUUGGGAAUCUACUGUCCGGGUGUAUGCCCUGUAGUUCCCUAAAACCAACGGCGGACUUAUAGUAUCCUCUGAGCGUAGUAAUUCUCUUCUCGCUUCUGUUAGGUGCUGUAAAUCUAGCCGCUAAACCCCCAAUUUUCAAUGGUUGACCUCGGAUCAGGUAGGAAUACCCGCUGAACUUAA